AUUGAACGCUGGCGGCAUGCUUUACACAUGCAAGUCGAACGGCAGCGCGGGCUUCGGCCUGGCGGCGAGUGGCGAACGGGUGAGUAAUACAUCGGAACGUGCCCAGUAGUGGGGGAUAGCUCGGCGAAAGCCGGAUUAAUACCGCAUACGACCUGAGGGUGAAAGCGGGGGAUCUUCGGACCUCGCGCUAUUGGAGCGGCCGAUGGCAGAUUAGCUAGUUGGUGGGGGAAAGGCCUACCAAGGCGACGAUCUGUAGCUGGUCUGAGAGGACGACCAGCCACACUGUGACUGAGACACGGCCCAGACUCCUACGGGAGGCAGCAGUGGGGAAUUUUGGACAAUGGGCGAAAGCCUGAUCCAGCAAUGCCGCGUGUGUGAUGAAGGCCUUCGGGUUGUAAAGCACUUUUGGCGGGAACGAAAAGGACUGUGCCAAUACCACGGUUCGAUGACGGUACCCGCAGAAUAAGCACCGGCUAACUACGUG
rnacentral:rRNA from 1 species